rnacentral:lncRNA from 1 species
AAUACAUUGUCUUUAUUGUCUGACAUUACAGAUUCGUUUUACACUUUCCUUUUUUUUUUUACAGACCAUGGGAAUGAAGGGUAAAAAUGUGUCCAGCAUUUUGCAAACAUUCUUUGUUACACACAAACACGCACAAUGAAUAAUAGGAAAGAGAAUACAGAAGAAUGAAAGGGUAUGUUGAAAUCAGACAGGCUGUGGUUGUCAUGGAUCCAUGGAAAUAAUGUCAAACUUUUUGAUAAGACUGGCAGGUGGGAUAUAUUGUCAUACACAGCUCGGUACAUGCACUGGGAAUGAAAGCUGCUAGAGCAGAAAGGUGCUUGGUGAUAAGAUAAAGGCUGAAAGUUAUCUAUUCUUU